UAACCUGCCCAAGAGACUGGGAUAACACCUGGAAACAGAUGCUAAUACCGGAUAACAACACUAGACGCAUGUCUAGAGUUUAAAAGAUGGUUCUGCUAUCACUCUUGGAUGGACCUGCGGUGCAUUAGCUAGUUGGUAAGGUAACGGCUUACCAAGGCAAUGAUGCAUAGCCGAGUUGAGAGACUGAUCGGCCACAUUGGGACUGAGACACGGUCCAAACUCCUACGGGAGGCAGCAGAU
rnacentral:rRNA from 1 species